GCUUCGCCGCCAGGUGGCAGGCGUGCGCCGCGCCCGCAGGUUCCAGCCCCGACCCGGGCGCUCAGGGCGGACCAGGGUCGGGUCGGGUGGGGUGUGCGGUGGCGGCUCCGCUCCUGGCUGCUCCGCUCUGGGUGCCAGGGCGCGGGUAGCUGCCCCGGGGUUCUGCCCACCCGGGAGGAAAGCCACGGGCACUGAGCGCCUCCUGAGAGCCAGCCCUGAUGUGAACUCAUUUUAUCUGCCACGACCCAGAAGGCAUGGUAUAAGCAGGGCUAAGUGGAAAAACUGUAUCUUUCAUGUUAAAGAAGUCCAGAAGACUGGUAAGAAUGUAAGUAUAAUUUGAUGUAAUUGUAAAUUAUAGAAAAAUUAUGACGUUCUCCUAUGUUAUAUUUAGAAGUUUAAUGGAACUUUUUUACACAGUGUAGGCUCUAUGAUUUCAGAGUAUAGCUCCCUAACAGGGCUUCCAUUUGUAUAUUUGAACAUAAAUUAUCUAUAUUGUCCCACAAAGACUCUGUAAUCAUUAUGAAAUUCCUUAAGUAGAGGAAAAGCUGGACCCCAAAUAUAGUCUUCAUUUGGAAGGAGUCUUCUAGAUGCAGGUCCAACCAAAGCACUGUAUUAUAGGAGUAACAGUUCAGGUUUUUCCUAACAGAUUCCAUUUUAUAGUAAAUGCAUUGAUAAUCAAAAUGUGUAACCCUCAGCCUCAAGGCUGAGUGGUCAAUUCCAAGGUAGAGUAAGGCCUGCAGUCAGAACACAGGAGACCAUGCAGCUCUCAGUAAUGCAGGGUGCAGAGCUGCUGGAGGUUUGGGUAGGAUUUCUCCCUUGAAAUCACUGGAGUAAAGACUAUGAUGCUAAGGAUUGCAGAGGCUGCUACAGGAAUAGCUAAGAACCUAACAGUAGUCAAAAGAUUUCUUGACAUAGUCAGCAAGGUCCAGUCUAGUACUUGCCCAUGAUGAAUUCCAAGUUUGGGUGGGCACAUCCCCUUCUGCCUCUUUUGGGGCCCCUUUGCUCCCCUGUUGCUGCCAUCUUUGAAGGGUAACAGUGCCUUCUUUACUAACCAGUACAGCAAUGGGCACAGAGGUGGUGUUCGAUAAAUGUUUGUAGAAUAAAUUAAUGCCCUCCGUUUUGAAUGGAUGCUUUCUGCUGCAAGGACAAAGGUAACCUGUAUUCUGAGGAGUGUUCACAGGCACAGGCUUAUAUGUGCAUGUAUGCAACAGGCUGAAAACCUCAGGAAUCCCCUCACCUGGGUUUUAAGAUCAGGCAGCAAGAGAUAUCUGAGCAUUAAAAAAAAGAGUUCUAUUGCUGUAUGCUCUGGGCUCGACUGUUGCUGCCUCAGCCUGCAAGUACCAGGCCAAGCUACUUGGGAAACUUCCUCGGAAGGCUAUUGCCCUUACUCAGGGACAUCUGGGGCCCUUGAGGAGCCUGCAGACUGCAUAUGAGAGGCACUAAAAAAGCAGUCUGUACAUGAGGAAUCUAUCUGUCUGCUAGAGCCACAUAAUAGCCAGGGACUGGGACUAGCCUAGACAGAAAUAAUUUCUUUUGGCUUUAAGAGUAUUACCUGAUGUUUUGUUACAUCCAAAACAAACCAACGGGGCUUCCAACCUUUCAGCAAAGCCCCUCUUUUAUAAAGUGUUCCCUCAAAGGACCUAGAAGAAAUGAUGACAGGAGAGUUAAUUUUGAUUUACACUUACGAAAUGCUGUAAAGGGGAGGGGAUGUCUGUUGUUUUUGUCAAGUCUCUAUUUCCCCUAGAUGAUCCAAAAAUGGCCAAUGAGAGUUCUCCCUGGAAUUUUUCUACUAGACCUCUGGGGAAAGACUGCUGCUUUCUACUGGGAUUACCACAUCUGUGAGGCUUGGAAUGAUCAGUAGCCAUCUUUUGUGCCAUGCUGGGACUGACAUAACACAGAGAGAGGGCAAAGCAGAGCCGGGAAAUGGAUAGAAGAUACUGUGUGAGAAGCUAGCAUACCCUUGACUGUCCUAGUUUAUGAGUCUACUGCUAAGAUUUCAGCACGUCCUAUGGCUGAGUUAAUCAGAGUUAUGAUAGGAAGGUACCUGGCACACCAUCGCAGUGCUCCAUCAAUGCUAGUACGUUGUGUUGUUUCCUUCACAUCAAGUCAA